AGCGUCUAUCGUCUUUGUUUCCUCCAAACCUACUGCUUAACCGAGUCCCGUGGCGGCUGUUGUUGUUCAGCCAUAGUCGACGCUGCUACUUCACGGUGCUUCUAUUGCCACCUCCAGAAUCUUCGAACGCCACGAUCGUCGAUGCUGAAAUCCGCUUCAUUCUCAUCCAUCGGCGAGGCGCCGCCCCUCCAUCAACAUCCCUAACCGUCAUUCUUCAUUUUCCACCGAGUUGCUGUUACACCAAUCCUGGUCAGGAUUUCAGUGAUUAGCCGAUCGAAGUGCGUGACCAUUACAACUCCGUGCUGCGACUGCUGUCGUGCGAGUCCCUGAUUACCAACUCUCGCUGUACAUUAUCCUUGGGUUCAUUGGAGGCCAACAGGAAGUAGAAGCAAUGACUUCACUACGGUCGCUGAAGUCCUCAAUCUUUGAUAAAGAGGAAAGGAAGAUGCAGUACCAAUCUCAUAUCAGAGGGCUCAAUGCAUAUGAUCGCCACAAUAAGUUCAUGAAGGAUUACGUUCAAUUUUAUGGGAAGACAACAAGCUGCCCGAGAGACUGUGUGUCCAUAAAGACUGAUCAAGACACAAUUAGAGAGGGCCACAGGUU